GGCGAAGUGGUGGAACUGGUAGACACGCUGUCUUGAGGGGGCAGUGGGUUCGUCCCGUCCGGGUUCAAGUCCCGGCUUCGCCACCA
rnacentral:tRNA from 1 species